rnacentral:lncRNA from 1 species
UCCGUUGUUUCGUUGACUGGGACGGACACCAGAGGCCACGAUUUCUUCCGGUUGUCAGCUGAUUGCAUGGUCGGUCGUGCAUGAAAUUAACUAGCGAACGCCAAUCUGAGGCUGAAAAGUCAACCGAGACCGGAUCCGCUCGCUACCUCUUGAUCCAAGGUGCCAAAUGUCAACUGUCCCAGAUCAUCUUGGAUCGGUAUUUUAUCUUCUUCUAUCCCAGCUCAGUCGUCCUUCUCUCAAGAAUAAUAUUGUAAUCCGAGUACAGAAAUGGAAAAUGUUAAUGAAGCCUCUCUCCUUUGAAUUCUGCUCCUCCAUCGGUGGAUCUGGUCAUCAAGUGGUCAACCAAGCCAGAGCCGUUUCUGUGCCACACUAAAAUAACACGAUGGUCAACGUUACCGAAACAAUAUCCUUCAAACCUCGCCGUUCCGCCACAGAAAAAGUCAACAUAGCAUGUUAUGGUACGCAAGUCUAACAUACGGCCGCUAUAGAUUUCAAUCUAGAUGUGCGUUGUAGUUGGCAUCGGUCUUUCGUACGCGGACUCUGCGGAGAACUCCGCCCGGCUCGUACGCAAAAGUGGACGAACCUGGCACCUGGG